rnacentral:misc_RNA from 1 species
CCUCCCUUCCAUUCAUUUCCCACAUUACGUAAUUCACCUUUCUCUUCUUCCAUCUUUCUCUUUUUCUAUCUUUGGUUCUUUAUUUCUUUCUCCAUUGUUCUUGAUUUAAUUCUUCUGGUUAAUCUUUUUCUUGUGAAGGGGGCGAGACGGGGUUCUGCUACAGCAGAAUGGCGCCGCGUCUCUUCGCCUGCUUUGGCAAGUGCAACUAUUCCUCCUCCUCCGGGAACCAAGUGCAUGGAAAGGGGAAAAGCAACGUGACGGUGGAUGCUUCAGCGGAGGAGCAGCGGCGUGCAGGUGCUAUUAUGGUGGAGCUAUUCUCUUCACAGGGGUGUGCGACGUCGCCGGAGGCUGAAUUAUUGGUGUCAAGGUUAGGGAGAGGAGACUUUGCCCUGGAAACGCCGGUGAUAGUGUUGGCAUUUCAUGUAGAUUAUUGGGACUAUAUGGGGUGGAAGGACCCUUUUGGCUCUAGCCAAUGGACUGUAAGGCAAAAGGCUUACGUUGAGGCAUUGAAGCUUGACACUAUGUUUACACCACAGGUAGUUAUCCAGGGUAGGACUCAGUUUGUGGCCAAUGAGGAGGAGGCUCUUUUGUCUUCCAUCAUGAGUGCCCC